AUUGUGGGUGAAGCUUUUGUAGGUGAAGCUUUGGAGUUGAAGUUUUGUAGGUGAAGCUUUGGAGUUGAAGCUUUUGUUAGGUUUUGAUUUUGCUUCACACUAUCUUGAUCAAGAUAGUAUGAAGUUUUUUGAGAAUUUGUAGUUGUCCUCCAUUGAUGAAGCUUUUGUUGGUGAAGCUUUGGAGUUGAAGCUUUUGUUGGGUGCCAUGAAUUGAUUUUGCUUCACACUAUCUUGAUCAAGAUAGUGUGAAGCUUUUGAGAAUUUGUAGUUGUCCUCCAUUGAUGAAGUUUUGUUGAAUUUCCAUUUUUUUUUUUUUUUUUUUUUGGAAAGCUAGAAAUUUGAAAAUGUGGGAGAGACAACAUAUACAAAUUUGUGAAGCUUUUGAGAAUUGUGGUUGCCCUCCAUUGAUGAAGCUCUUGUUGGCACCAUAAAUUGGUUUUGCUUCAUACUGUCUUGAUCAAGAGUGUGUGAAGCUUUUGAGAAUUAUGGUUGCCCUCUAUUGAUGAAGCUUUUGUUGGCACCAUAAAUUGGUUUUGCUUAACACUGUCUUGAUUAAGAGUGUGCGAAGCUUUUGAGAAUUGUGGUUGAACUCUUUUGAUGAAGCUCUUGUUGGCACCAUAAAUUGGUUUUGCUUCACAUUGUCUUGAUCAAGAGUGUGUGAAGCUUUCUACGAGUUGUAGUGUUUGCAUUGUUACAGAGGAGAAAUGUCUGAAGCAGAUGUAAGAGGGCUGAAUAGCUUGAUCUUCGUAUGCCAUGCACUGAAGUUGUUGUUGGCUUGUAAUAAGACUUUGUUGGUGACUAUAACUCUUGUUGGGCAUAAGUGCUCCCCUAGUUGAGUUGUCAAGCUUGAGGGUUUUUGAUUAUUUGUGAAUACUAGGAGUUCACAUGUACAAGUUGUACCACUCGUUUUCUAGUAGGUG
rnacentral:lncRNA from 1 species